UUCAGUAGAGUUGCAGCGAGAGGAAUUUCUAGCUGCCAUUUGAUGGACAGUCUGAUCCUGGUUGGUUACUGUAAAACAUCAUCUGAAAUAGAAGCAUGGCAUAUUUUUAACUUCCUGACAUACACAGCACAGUCUGCUGCUGAGGAAUUUUCCUGUCCCCAAAGUGAUGAGCAGACAAGGCACCACUGAUGCUGCUCACGCUUUGCUCAGUGGGAGGUAAUGCAAAAAGCAGCUCAACAACAAAUAUUAUAUCAACAGCGUGCUGCUCCUUCUUUCCCUCUCCCAUCUCAGGUUCAGAGUUGGAAAGUGAUAACAGACACGACAGACUGCAAUCUUCUUCAAGCAAAAGGAGUGAAAAGAAGAAAAAUAAUUUGAGGAGCCCAGAACUGGACACCAAUAUUCACCUCAGGAGGGACUGAAAAACUACUUUUGGUUCAAGAAAAAG